ensembl:snRNA U6 U6 spliceosomal RNA
CGGCUCACUUUGGCAACACAUACAGUAAAAUUGGAAUGAUACAGAGAAGAUUUGCAUAGCCACUGUGCAAGGAUGGCAUACAGAUUCCUGAAGCAUUCCAUAGUCUU